GACGUGCUAAUCUGCGAUAAGCGUCGGUAAGGUGAUAUGAACCGUUAUAACCGGCGAUUUCCGAAUGGGGAAACCCAGUGUGAUUCGUCACACUAUCAUUAACUGAAUCCAUAGGUUAAUGAGGCGAACCGGGGGAACUGAAACAUCUAAGUACCCCGAGGAAAAGAAAUCAACCGAGAUUCCCCCAGUAGCGGCGAGCGAACGGGGAGCAGCCCAGAGCCUGAAUCAGUGUGUGUGUUAGUGGAAGCGUCUGGAAAGGCGUGCGAUACAGGGUGACAGCCCCGUACACAAAAAUGCACAUACUGUGAGCUCGAUGAGUAGGGCGGGACACGUGGUAUCCUGUCUGAAUAUGGGGGGACCAUCCUCCAAGGCUAAAUACUCCUGACUGACCGAUAGUGAACCAGUACCGUGAGGGAAAGGCGAAAAGAACCCCGGCGAGGGGAGUGAAAAAGAACCUGAAACCGUGUACGUACAAGCAGUGGGAGCACGCUUAGGCGUGUGACUGCGUACCUUUUGUAUAAUGGGUCAGCGACUUAUAUUCUGUAGCAAGGUUAACCGAAUAGGGGAGCCGAAGGGAAACCGAGUCUUAACUGGGCGUUAAGUUGCAGGGUAUAGACCCGAAACCCGGUGAUCUAGCCAUGGGCAGGUUGAAGGUUGGGUAACACUAACUGGAGGACCGAACCGACUAAUGUUGAAAAAUUAGCGGAUGACUUGUGGCUGGGGGUGAAAGGCCAAUCAAACCGGGAGAUAGCUGGUUCUCCCCGAAAGCUAUUUAGGUAGCGCCUCGUGAAUUCAUCUCCGGGGGUAGAGCACUGUUUCGGCAAGGGGGUCAUCCCGACUUACCAACCCGAUGCAAACUGCGAAUACCGGAGAAUGUUAUUACGGGAGACACACGGCGGGUGCUAACGUCCGUCGUGAAGAGGGAAACAACCCAGACCGCCAGCUAAGGUCCCAAAGUCAUGGUUAAGUGGGAAACGAUGUGGGAAGGCCCAGACAGCCAGGAUGUUGGCUUAGAAGCAGCCAUCAUUUAAAGAAAGCGUAAUAGCUCACUGGUCGAGUCGGCCUGCGCGGAAGAUGUAACGGGGCUAAACCAUGCACCGAAGCUGCGGCAGCGACGCUUAUGCGUUGUUGGGUAGGGGAGCGUUCUGUAAGCCUGUGAAGGUGUGCUGUGAGGUAUGCUGGAGGUAUCAGAAGUGCGAAUGCUGACAUAAGUAACGAUAAAGCGGGUGAAAAGCCCGCUCGCCGGAAGACCAAGGGUUCCUGUCCAACGUUAAUCGGGGCAGGGUGAGUCGACCCCUAAGGCGAGGCCGAAAGGCGUAGUCGAUGGGAAACAGGUUAAUAUUCCUGUACUUGGUGUUACUGCGAAGGGGGGACGGAGAAGGCUAUGUUGGCCGGGCGACGGUUGUCCCGGUUUAAGCGUGUAGGCUGGUUUUCCAGGCAAAUCCGGAAAAUCAAGGCCGAGGCGUGAUGACGAGGCACUACGGUGCUGAAGCAACAAAUGCCCUGCUUCCAGGAAAAGCCUCUAAGCAUCAGGUAACAUCAAAUCGUACCCCAAACCGACACAGGUGGUCAGGUAGAGAAUACCAAGGCGCUUGAGAGAACUCGGGUGAAGGAACUAGGCAAAAUGGUGCCGUAACUUCGGGAGAAGGCACGCUGAUACGUAGGUGAAGCGACUUGCUCGUGGAGCUGAAAUCAGUCGAAGAUACCAGCUGGCUGCAACUGUUUAUUAAAAACACAGCACUGUGCAAACACGAAAGUGGACGUAUACGGUGUGACGCCUGCCCGGUGCCGGAAGGUUAAUUGAUGGGGUUAGCGCAAGCGAAGCUCUUGAUCGAAGCCCCGGUAAACGGCGGCCGUAACUAUAACGGUCCUAAGGUAGCGAAAUUCCUUGUCGGGUAAGUUCCGACCUGCACGAAUGGCGUAAUGAUGGCCAGGCUGUCUCCACCCGAGACUCAGUGAAAUUGAACUCGCUGUGAAGAUGCAGUGUACCCGCGGCAAGACGGAAAGACCCCGUGAACCUUUACUAUAGCUUGACACUGAACAUUGAGCCUUGAUGUGUAGGAUAGGUGGGAGGCUUUGAAGUGUGGACGCCAGUCUGCAUGGAGCCGACCUUGAAAUACCACCCUUUAAUGUUUGAUGUUCUAACGUGGACCCGUGAUCCGGGUUGCGGACAGUGUCUGGUGGGUAGUUUGACUGGGGCGGUCUCCUCCUAAAGAGUAACGGAGGAGCACGAAGGUUGGCUAAUCCUGGUCGGACAUCAGGAGGUUAGUGCAAUGGCAUAAGCCAGCUUGACUGCGAGCGUGACGGCGCGAGCAGGUGCGAAAGCAGGUCAUAGUGAUCCGGUGGUUCUGAAUGGAAGGGCCAUCGCUCAACGGAUAAAAGGUACUCCGGGGAUAACAGGCUGAUACCGCCCAAGAGUUCAUAUCGACGGCGGUGUUUGGCACCUCGAUGUCGGCUCAUCACAUCCUGGGGCUGAAGUAGGUCCCAAGGGUAUGGCUGUUCGCCAUUUAAAGUGGUACGCGAGCUGGGUUUAGAACGUCGUGAGACAGUUCGGUCCCUAUCUGCCGUGGGCGCUGGAGAACUGAGGGGGGCUGCUCCUAGUACGAGAGGACCGGAGUGGACGCAUCACUGGUGUUCGGGUUGUCAUGCCAAUGGCACUGCCCGGUAGCU
rnacentral:rRNA from 1 species